AGAAAUAUGUCUGACAAAAGAGUUACUUUGAUAGAGUAAAUUAUAGGGGCUAAAAUCCCCUUAUUUCUA
rnacentral:tRNA from 2 species